rnacentral:rRNA from 1 species
UGGCGGACGGGUGAGUAACGCGUGGAGAACCUGCCGUAUACUGGGGGAUAACACUUAGAAAUAGGUGCUAAUACCGCAUAAGCGCACAGUCUCGCAUGAGACGGUGUGAAAAACUCCGGUGGUAUACGAUGGAUCCGCGUCUGAUUAGCUUGUUGGCGGGGUAACAGCCCACCAAGGCGACGAUGCGUAGGGGUUCUGAGAGGAAGGUCCCCCACACUGGUACUGAGACACGGACCAGACUCCUACGGAAGGCAGCAG